rnacentral:tRNA from 2 species
GGCCUGGUGGCUCAGUUGGUUAGAGCGCCGCCCUGUCACGGCGGAGGUCAUGGGUUCGAACCCCAUCCGGGUCG